rnacentral:rRNA from 1 species
UGCGUAGGUGGCUUGAAAAGUUUGAUGUGAAAGCUCAGGGCUUAACCCUGAAAUGGCAUUGAAUACUGUCGAGCUGGAGGUUUGGGAGGGGGGACGUGGAAUUCUUGGUGUAGCAGUGAAAUGCGUAGAUAUCAAGAGGAACACCAGUGGCGAAGGCGAGUCCCUGGACAACACCUGACACUGAGGCACGAAAGGCUAGGGGAAGGCAAACA